rnacentral:rRNA from 1 species
UACGAAGGGUGCAAGCGUUACUCGGAAUUACUGGGCGUAAAGCGUGCGUAGGUGGUUUGUUAAGUCUGUUGUGAAAGCCCCGGGCUCAACCUGGGAAUGGCAAUGGAUACUGGCAAGCUAGAGUGCGGUAGAGGGUAGUGGAAUUCCCGGUGUAGCGGUGAAAUGCGUAGAGAUCGGGAGGAACACCAAUGGCGAAGGCAGCUCUCUGGGACGGUACUGACGCUGAGACGCGAAAGCGUGGGGAGCGAACAGG